GAUGAACGCUGGCGGCGUGCUUAACACAUGCAAGUCGAACGAAGCACUUUAUUUGAUUUCCUUCGGGACUGAUUAUUUUGUGACUGAGUGGCGGACGGGUGAGUAACGCGUGGGUAACCUGCCUUGUACAGGGGGAUAACAGUUGGAAACGGCUGCUAAUACCGCAUAAGCGCACGGCAUCGCAUGAUGCAGUGUGAAAAACUCCGGUGGUAUAAGAUGGACCCGCGUUGGAUUAGCUAGUUGGUGAGGUAACGGCCCACCAAGGCGACGAUCCAUAGCCGACCUGAGAGGGUGACCGGCCACAUUGGGACUGAGACACGGCCCAAACUCCUACGGGAGGCAGCAGUGGGGAAUAUUGCACAAUGGGCGAAAGCCUGAUGCAGCGACGCCGCGUGAGCGAAGAAGUGUUUCGGUAUGUAAAGCUCUAUCAGCAGGGAAGAUAAUGACGGUACCUGACUAAGAAGCACCGGCUAAAUACGUG
rnacentral:rRNA from 1 species